CUUCUUCGUGUCUAAUUGAAACAUAAUUUUAUAUGGCGGAUAACAACAUUAAUUUAUUCAACAAACAAAAUCCAAUUACUAUUUGAAUGAGUUAACACUUUCUUCAAAAGACUUAAACAACUGUCUUAUCUAGCGUAUGGGAGACAAUUAGCUAACUAUUAGUAACCUUUUAUUAACUAAUCAGUGGAGACUAUCACUACAACAACUUUAUUAUAAAAUCCGUAAUUUGAU
rnacentral:lncRNA from 1 species